rnacentral:lncRNA from 1 species
UCGAAUAGUUCCUGUCCCAUUCAUACUACUGUUGGCUUCUGUGCUAUGUCUAGCGGCUGGUGAAUCCUACCUAGUAUCGGAAUUGGAUUUGAUAUUUCCUCGGUUUACGAGAAGGGUUUUAAUGGCGACCGGACUCCUCUUCUCUGGAAGUCUAAUGGUUUGGGGGACGUCGAUUCCCUGGAUUUUCUGGCUUCCCUUUCCCUUCAACCAGCCACUCUUUUAGUUCCCAAAAUAUAUAUAAUCCAGAAUCCUUUUAAGCGCCUUAUCACGAAAGUGACCAAGCAAGCAGAUGAUGAUGGUUCAGCCGGUAAGCUAACAAGCAACCGAAAUGAAGGAAGAGGAGACCCUUCUAUUAUAAGUUGAAAGCGAAGUCGAUAGUCCUCGUAUUGGUAAUUAUUAUACGCUAAAAAAUCUAUAUAAGAUAUAGAAGGCAAAAUAUGAGAAAAUGAAAUAAAUAAAGAAAAAGAAGAAGGCCCUCUCCUUACAGUGGCUGAACGCUCCUCUACAACUACCUUUCGCCCAACAUGAUCACGAACGAAGACAGAGAAUUGCGUAGAUAGGAGGACGAAACGAACCAACCCACUUGUCCUGAUCAGAAGAAGAAAGAAAGAGAAUGGUGGCUCCCUUCCAACCAGUCAAGUGGCCCAAGGGCCACCUUUUGCCCAGGGGACAUCGUCGGAGAACAAUGUCGG